UACGUAGGUGGCAAGCGUUAUCCGGAAUUAUUGGGCGUAAAGCGCGCGCAGGUGGUUUCUUAAGUCUGAUGUGAAAGCCCACGGCUCAACCGUGGAGGGUCAUUGGAAACUGGGAGACUUGAGUGCAGAAGAGGAAAGUGGAAUUCCAAGUGUAGCGGUGAAAUGCGUAGAGAUUUGGAGGAACACCAGUGGCGAAGGCGACUUUCUGGUCUGUAACUGACACUGAGGCGCGAAAGCGUGGGGAGCAAACAGG
rnacentral:rRNA from 1 species